rnacentral:misc_RNA from 1 species
GAAAUGCGAUAAGUAAUGUGAAUUGCAGAAUUCAGUGAAUCAUCGAAUCUUUGAACGCACCUGGCGCUCCUUGGUAUUCCUUGGAGCAUGCCUGUUUGAGUAUCAUGAAAUCUUCAAAGUAAAUCUUUUGUUAACUCAAUUGGUUUCUACUUUGGUAUUGGAGGUCUUUGCAGCUUCACACCUGCUCCUCUUUGUUCAUUAGCUGGAUCUCAGUGUUAUGCUUGGUUCCACUCGGCGUGAUAAGUUAUCUAUCGCUGAGGACACUGUAAAAGGUGGCCAAGGUAAAUGCAGAUGAACCGCUUCUAAUAGUCCAUUGACUUGGACACUACUUUUAUGAUCUGAUCUCAAAUCAGGUAGGACUACCCGCUGAACUUAAGC